CCACCGAAGUCAAGCAUCAUUGGGCGCGGUCAGUACUUGGGUGGGUGACCUCCUGGGAACACCGUGUGCCGCUG